GAUGAACGCUGGCGGCGUGCCUAAUACAUGCAAGUCGAACGAGGUGCAUUUGUAGCAAUACGAGAGUAUCCUAGUGGCGAACGGGUGAGUAACGCGUUGGUGACCUGCCCCAAAGUGUGGGAUAACAGUCCGAAAGGAUUGCUAAUACCGCAUGUGGUCAUCGGGUUUAGAAACCGGUGACUAAAGCAGUAAUGCGCUUUGGGAGGGACCUGCGUCCCAUCAGCUAGUUGGUAGGGUAACGGCCUACCAAGGCGACGACGGGUAGGGGACCUGAGAGGGUGGCCCCCCACAAUGGAACUGAAACACGGUCCAUACACCUACGGGUGGCAGCAGUAGGGAAUAUUGCUCAAUGGGCGAAAGCCUGAAGCAGCAACGCCGCGUGCGCGAUGAAGGUCUUCGGAUCGUAAAGCGCCUUUCUGCGAGAUGAGAAAGGGCAGUAUCGUAGGAAUAAGUCUCGGCUAACUACGUGCCAGCAGCCGCCGUAACAC
rnacentral:rRNA from 1 species